GGAGAGGUGGCUGAGCGGCCGAAAGCGCCUCACUGCUAACGAGGUAGGGGGUAACACCCCUCGUGGGUUCGAAUCCCACCCUCUCCG
rnacentral:tRNA from 1 species